GUAAUGCAAAUUAUUGGUUGAGCUAAUAGGAUUAAUAAAUGAAAUAAUUUUGACUGUGUUGAAAGUUUAGUCUACAAAGUAAAGGUCAAACAAUGUCAACAUCCGUUGGAUUCUAUGACAUGACAGAUUAGAUAGAACAUUAUUCAUCCCUUGGGAAGACUCCCUCAGGGAAAUUGAGGUUCCAGCAGCAUUGUAUAGCAGCACACAGGGUAAGAAGCACACAAAGUAUCAAAAGUGAAAAAAAAAAAAAUGAGAGGCAAACAUUUU